AUUGAACGCUGGCGGCAUGCCUUACACAUGCAAGUCGAACGGCAGCAUGAUCUAGCUUGCUCGAUUGAUGGCGAGUGGCGAACGGGUGAGUAAUACAUCGGAACGUGCCCUGUAGUGGGGGAUAACUAGUCGAAAGAUUAGCUAAUACCGCAUACGACCUGAGGGUGAAAGUGGGGGACCGCAAGGCCUCAUGCUAUAGGAGCGGCCGAUGUCUGAUUAGCUAGUUGGUGAGGUAAAGGCUCACCAAGGCGACGAUCAGUAGCUGGUCUGAGAGGACGAUCAGCCACACUGGGACUGAGACACGGUCCAGACUCCUACGGGAGGCAGCAGUGGGGAAUAUUGGACAAUGGGCGAAAGCCUGAUCCAGCAAUGCCGCGUGUGUGAAGAAGGCCUUCGGGUUGUAAAGCACUUUUGUCCGGAAAGAAAUGGGUCUGGUUAAUACCUGGGGUCGAUGACGGUACCGGAAGAAUAAGGACCGGCUAACUACGUG
rnacentral:rRNA from 1 species